UACGUAGGGUGCAAGCGUUGUCCGGAAUUAUUGGGCGUAAAGAGCGUGUAGGCGGUUCGGUAAGUCUGCCGUGAAAACCUGGGGCUCAACCCCAGGCGUGCGGUGGAUACUGCCGGGCUAGAGGGUGGUAGAGGCGAGUGGAAUUCCCGGUGUAGCGGUGAAAUGCGCAGAUAUCGGGAGGAACACCAGUAGCGAAGGCGGCUCGCUGGGCCAUACCUGACGCUGAGACGCGAAAGCGUGGGGAGCAAACAGG
rnacentral:rRNA from 1 species